rnacentral:rRNA from 1 species
AGAUUGAACGCUGGCGGCAUGCUUUACACAUGCAAGUCGAGCGGCAGCGCGGGGGCAACCCUGGCGGCGAGCGGCGAACGGGUGAGUAAUACAUCGGAACGUGUCCAAUAGUGGGGGAUAACCAGUCGAAAGAUUGGCUAAUACCGCAUACGAUCUACGGAUGAAAGCGGGGGAUCGCAAGACCUCGCGCUUUUGGAGCGGCCGAUGUCCGAUUAGCUAGUUGGCGGGUAACGGCCCACCAAGGCGACGAUCGGUAGCUGGUCUGAGAGGAUGAUCAGCCACACUGGAACUGAGACACGGUCCAGACUCCUACGGGAGGCAGCAGUGGGAAUUUUGGACAAUGGGCGCAAGCCUGAUCCAGCAUGCCGCGUGAGUGAAGAAGGCUUCGGUGUAAGCUCGUUACGACGGGACGAACGGUUCGUGUAACGACCGCGACUAUACGCGGUACUCGGAGAAGAGACACCGGACUAACGUACGUAGCCAGACCAGCCGUA